CCUUUUUGUCAACCCAUCAAGCUUAAGGAACACAACACCACAAAAGCUCCUAAAACUGCUAAAACCAGUGGUUGAAUGAAAAUUUCAUCUCUUAGAACACUUGGGAAUCGUGGUAGUUUUGAAAGAACUACCUUGGUUUCAGCUGAGUCCAGAAUCAUAUUUUGGAAGAAGAGUUGAUAAGGAGCUCCCAAUUAGAUUCUUUCCACUCCAAAAUUAGUUUCUCACGAUCAUAUACAACUCAGGUUAUCGAGGGUUUUAUAUGGGAGAUUUCCUUCUGCAACGAUGAUAAAAGGGGGAAUAAGAUGUCAAUCUUAUCUUUCUAGAUUUCUAAUAGCAUUGUUAACGGAGAAAAUCUUAUGCAUUUUCUGUCAAAGAUAGCAUCACACAUUUGAAAGAGGCUUUGUUACCUACAGAAGGUGUAAAAACCUAUAUCAAAAUUCGACAGUUGCUACAGAGUACAGACUAAAGUAGACAUAUGUAUCCUGGAAGUAUUACAAGGAGAGGCAAAGCUUUAUUUCUAACGACACUAUGGCAGUCUGGCAGUCACGAGACAGAGUUUCGACUGCAAUAAACUAAUAACAGAGGCCUAACUUAGCUAAAUGAAAUAAGACGUAUGUAAUAUUGUCUCAUUACUCCAACCUAUA